GACAAUUUGACUAAAUGUGUCCGUUUAAUUGAUGAUUUAAUUUAUGCAGUUAUUUACCCGCCUAAACGUUAACCCUAAAAAUGAAAAUUUUGACAAUGACACAUGGAAUAAGGUUUAACAAGACUGUCAAUUAAAAAGUAAUAAUGGGAAAAUCCAACCAAGGUUGCCUUUAUUUUGGGAAUACAAUUUAUUAUGUGUUGGUCCAUCAUUUUUGAUUAUCUGUUGAGGAAAAAAGGUAAGACUUUUUAAUAUUAUCAAAUAUCUUAGCCAUUGCAACAAUCUUUAUAAUCCGUUACACAAUUAAUCCAGUUCCCUGUACCUAAUCUGAAACUUGAAAAACCUUUUUGUAUUUUUUUCCGUUUAUAAAGACUUUCCUAAUCUUCAAAUUGGUAGAGGUGAAAAGAUUUCAAUUGUUUACCUGCAAGCUGUUUUACAUCUUCAACAUUGGGCGCUUUUAUCAUUUCAUUUCAAUAUUUACUCAUCUUCAAUUCCGUAUUUACACUACUGUUCAUUUACUGUUAUUGCUCUGGUUAGUUAAAGCUUGAUGACCUGUGAUACAAUUGCUACUUGAACGGACAUUUCCUAAUCAAGUUCAUUGCCAUUGAAAGACGAGUGAUCAGUGAAUCACCACGCAAUAUUCACCUCUUUGACUGAUUAAGUGUUUGAUUGAUUAACCAUUUUAGUUAUUUCAAUUCACUGAAAUUCCAUGUUGAUUCUUCCUUUAUCGGCUCUAAAAUCAAAGAGUUAAGUGGUUUGAAUUUCGCUCAACACAUUGUUCCCAUUGUAACCCAAAGAAAAGGUUGACUAUUUGCUUAGAUUUAUCAUAGCGUGGCGUGUAAAUGCGUAACCAAUGUGAUUGUCAGGCAGUCUUGAAGUAAAUUCAUUGAUAAUUAUGCAAAUGUUUGUAGGUUCAACUACUAGUAAAGGUGUUGAUUGUUAACCUUGAAUUAAUGUUGCUUCGGUAAAUGAGUCUUCAAAUAGCAUCCAAAACAAAAAUAAAACAACGAGAAUAAUUUUCUGUGUUCGUCUAUCUUAUCAAUCUUUUGUAACAUUGAAUACAUAAGACUACAUUCAAAAAUACUAAUUGCGAUACAAUGGAGUUAAUUUAGUAACAAUAAUAGCUGUUUAAUACCAAUAACUAAACCUUGAACACAAAUCUGAAUUGAGAUUAAAAAAGAUGAAAAACUCGUUUAGGUAAUAAUUGUUGUUUUACAAAUAAAGAAACAUAUUCGAUAUCUUA